rfam:Strongylocentrotus purpuratus Contig56608_fixed, whole genome shotgun sequence.
UUAUUCUGGUUUUUCUGCAAUACGCAUAAAUCUUUCGCCUUUUACUAAAGAUUUCCGUGCAGAGGAACACAUUGAUGAGUCUAUAAAGAUUUUUCUCUGGCUUGCCUUCAUUGACAAGCCU